GAUGAAGAACGCAGCGAAAUGCGAUAAGUAGUGUGAAUUGCAGAAUUCAGUGAAUCGUCGAAUCUUUGAACGCACAUUGCGCCCCUUGGUAUUCCAUGGGGCAUGCCUGUUCGAGCGUCAUUUGUACCUUCAAGCUUUGCUUGGUGUUGGGUGUUUGUCUCGCCUCUGCGUGUAGACUCGCCUUAAAACAAUUGGCAGCCGGCGUAUUGAUUUCGGAGCGCAGUACAUCUCGCGCUUUGCACUCAUAACGACGACGUCCAAAAGUACAUUUUUACACUCUUGACCUCGGAUCAGGUAGGGAUACCCGCUGAACUUAAGCAUAUCAAUAAGCGGAGGA
rnacentral:misc_RNA from 1 species